rnacentral:rRNA from 1 species
GUGGGGAAUAUUGGACAAUGGGGGGAACCCUGAUCCAGCCAUGCCGCGUGUGUGAAGAAGGCCUUUUGGUUGUAAAGCACUUUAAGCGAGGAGGAGGCUACCGAGAUUAAUACUCUUGGAUAGUGGACGUUACUCGCAGAAUAAGCACCGGCUAACUCUGUGCCAGCAGCCGCGGUAAUACAGAGGGUGCGAGCGUUAAUCGGAUUUACUGGGCGUAAAGCGCGCGUAGGUGGUUAAUUAAGUCAAAUGUGAAAUCCCCGAGCUUAGCUUGGGAAUUGCAUUCGAUACUGGUUAGCUAGAGUAUGGGAGAGGAUGGUAGAAUUCCAGGUGUAGCGGUGAAAUGCGUAGAGAGCUGGAGGAAUACCGAUGGCGAAGGCAGCCAUCUGGCCUAAUACUGACACUGAGGUGCGAAAGCAUGGGGAGCAAACAGGAUUAGAUACCCCUGUAGUCC